AUUUCAGCUCCCGUUCAGAUAAACCGCGUGCUUUGCUUGAAGUGCAUAAACAUUGAACGUGUGUAGGCUGAGAAUGCAGUUGCUGUUUUUAAACGAAGGUUUUUAUAUAGCCUAACUUUGAUAUUAACCAUUUGAUCAUGACACCUUAAGAAAGCAGCAGCCGCCAAAGAAGUAGCGGCUAUUUGGUUAGAUUACGGUUGGUUGAUACAUUUGUCAAUUUCAUUGUUAGAAUCCAGCAAAGCACCUGCUGUGGCACGAAAAACUCCUCUUCAUCCACCCACGAUGGUGUUGGUUAAUGAAGCGCUGAAGGAGUUGGACUCUCGAUUCGUCUCUCAUCUCAGGCCAUCCGUGGCGACAAAACAGGGAAAUAUCCAUCUGUGGACCUGAUGAGGUUGAAGUACAUGACACGCAAGACCCUGAAAAUAGGAAUCGAGGGCGGGGUAUUGGUGAGGACAUCAACUCGAUAGCAAACGGCGGACAGGGGAGGUUUCGGCUGGCAGUCAAGGGUAGGGUCAAGGAGCCAAAGGCCACUGAGAACACUGAUCCCAAUGUGGAGAAGGCUCCAAAGGCUGCCAAGGUUGGAGCCAAGAAGACUAAGGACAAGGAAGCCGGAUGAAAACUCAGGAAGUCCGCAAAAGCAUCUGCUUCCAAGGUGGCCCCUGCUAAGAAGCCCAAGUCAAAGAGGACAAAGGGGCAGAGAGGACAGCUGAGGAUCAACCCAAAGGACAGAAGACUACCAAGGGUGAAGGGGCAGCCAAGAAGGGUGCAAAGGCCAAAGCUUUCCAGAAGCCUGCAGAGGGUGAUGAAGGGGACACUGCUGCUCCUGAAGCUAAAACCACAGGGAAAUGAGACACGAGGGCAGCAGCAGAGUGACUGCACUCCUUUUAUCCACAUUGUAUGUUUUUAAAUAAAGCAGUUUUUUGUACUA